CGAGGGGAGUGAAAAAGAACCUGAAACCGUGUACGUACAAGCAGUGGGAGCCCCACCACCAAAGCAUUUGCUGUACCGCGUUGACGGAGCGAAGCGACGUCAAACCGAUAAAACAGCAGUGUAAAGUGAGCCGCAGGGCGCUUUGCGCGACAGCGCAAAGGCAGGCGGUUUCGCGUAGCGAAAGCGAAUGCUUUGGGGUGGGGUGACUGCGUACCUUUUGUAUAAUGGGUCAGCGACUUAUAUUCUGUAGCAAGGUUAACCGAAUAGGGGAGCCGGAGGGAAACCGAGUCUUAAUUGGGCGUUAAGUUGCAGGGUAUAGACCCGAAACCCGGUGAUCUAGCCAUGGGCAGGUUGAAGGUUGGGUAACACUAACUGGAGGACCGAACCGACUAAUGUUGAAAAAUUAGCGGAUGACCUGUGGCUGGGGGUGAAAGGCCAAUCAAACCGGGAGAUAGCUGGUUCUCCCCGAAAGCUAUUUAGGUAGCGCCUCGUGAAUUCAUCUCCGGGGGUAGAGCACUGUUUCGGCUAGGGGGCCAUCCCGGCUUACCAACCCGAUGCAAACUGCGAAUACCGGAGAAUGUUAUCACGGGAGACACACGGCGGGUGCUAACGUCCGUCGUGAAGAGGGAAACAACCCAGACCGCCAGCUAAGGUCCCAAAGUCAUGGUUAAGUGGGAAACGAUGUGGGAAGGCCCAGACAGCCAGGAUGUUGGCUUAGAAGCAGCCAUCAUUUAAAGAAAGCGUAAUAGCUCACUGGUCGAGUCGGCCUGCGCGGAAGAUGUAACGGGGCUAAACCAUGCACCGAAGCUGCGGCAGCGACACUGUGUGUUGUUGGGUAGGGGAGCGUUCUGUAAGCCUGUGAAGGUGUGUCGUGAGGCAUGCUGGAGGUAUCAGAAGUGCGAAUGCUGACAUAAGUAACGAUAAAGCGGGUGAAAAGCCCGCUCGCCGGAAGACCAAGGGUUCCUGUCCAACGUUAAUCGGGGCAGGGUGAGUCGACCCCUAAGGCGAGGCCGAAAGGCGUAGUCGAUGGGAAACGGGUUAAUAUUCCCGUACUUGGUGUUACUGCGAAGGGGGGACGGAGAAGGCUAUGUUGGCCGGGCGACGGUUGUCCCGGUUUAAGCGUGUAGGUGUGUGUUCCAGGUAAAUCCGGUUCACUUUAACACUGAGGCGUGACGACGAGGCACUACGGUGCUGAAGCAACAAAUGCCCUGCUUCCAGGAAAAGCCUCUAAGCAUCAGGUAACAUCAAAUCGUACCCCAAACCGACACAGGUGGUCAGGUAGAGAAUACCAAGGCGCUUGAGAGAACUCGGGUGAAGGAACUAGGCAAAAUGGUGCCGUAACUUCGGGAGAAGGCACGCUGACACGUAGGUGAAGUGAUUUACUCAUGGAGCUGAAGUCAGUCGAAGAUACCAGCUGGCUGCAACUGUUUAUUAAAAACACAGCACUGUGCAAACACGAAAGUGGACGUAUACGGUGUGACGCCUGCCCGGUGCCGGAAGGUUAAUUGAUGGGGUCAGCGCAAGCGAAGCUCCUGAUCGAAGCCCCGGUAAACGGCGGCCGUAACUAUAACGGUCCUAAGGUAGCGAAAUUCCUUGUCGGGUAAGUUCCGACCUGCACGAAUGGCGUAAUGAUGGCCAGGCUGUCUCCACCCGAGACUCAGUGAAAUUGAACUCGCUGUGAAGAUGCAGUGUACCCGCGGCAAGACGGAAAGACCCCGUGAACCUUUACUAUAGCUUGACACUGAACAUUGAGCCUUGAUGUGUAGGAUAGGUGGGAGGCUUUGAAGUGUGGACGCCAGUCUGCAUGGAGCCGACCUUGAAAUACCACCCUUUAAUGUUUGAUGUUCUAACGUGGACCCGUUACCCGGGUUGCGGACAGUGUCUGGUGGGUAGUUUGACUGGGGCGGUCUCCUCCUAAAGAGUAACGGAGGAGCACGAAGGUUGGCUAAUCCUGGUCGGACAUCAGGAGGUUAGUGCAAUGGCAUAAGCCAGCUUGACUGCGAGCGUGACGGCGCGAGCAGGUGCGAAAGCAGGUCAUAGUGAUCCGGUGGUUCUGAAUGGAAGGGCCAUCGCUCAACGGAUAAAAGGUACUCCGGGGAUAACAGGCUGAUACCGCCCAAGAGUUCAUAUCGACGGCGGUGUUUGGCACCUCGAUGUCGGCUCAUCACAUCCUGGGGCUGAAGUAGGUCCCAAGGGUAUGGCUGUUCGCCAUUUAAAGUGGUACGCGAGCUGGGUUUAGAACGUCGUGAGACAGUUCGGUCCCUAUCUGCCGUGGGCGCUGGAGAACUGAGGGGGGCUGCUCCUAGUACGAGAGGACCGGAGUGGACGCAUCACUGGUGUUCGGGUUGUCAUGCCAAUGGCACUGCCCGGUAGCUAAAUGCGGAAGAGAUAAGUGCUGAAAGCAUCUAAGCACGAAACUUGCCCCGA
rnacentral:rRNA from 1 species